rfam:Oryza sativa (indica cultivar-group) chromosome 3, whole genome shotgun sequence.
CGUAGUUGUGGCCUUGUGUGUUUCAGUGCCCAACUUUAACCAUCCGUCUUAUUUAAAAUAUUUUUAUGAUUAGUAUUAUUAUUAUUAUUAUUAUUAUUAGAUGAUAAAAUAUAUAUAGUACUUUAUGCGUGACUUAAUUUUCUGAAUUGUUUCAUAAAAUUUUCAAAUAAGACGGGCGGUCAAACGUUGGGCACGAAAACUUAUGGCUGCACUUAUA